GAUUUCUUUGAUAUCCUUCGGAAAUGUCCUGUAUCUAUAUGAUUUUAUAAGUUUUCAAGGCUUUGAAUUCCUGCUUUAUCCUAGAACCGACCAACAUACAUCAUUAUUUGUCCUUAUACAAAGAAUGUUUUUCUUGUAUUUGCACUGUAAUUUAAAUCAAUUCACUUUGGUUUUAAUAGAAAUAAUGGGUCACCAAGGUCGUAAACAAAAUCUAUCAAAUGCUGUGAAAAAUAUCUUGAUCCCACUUUCAAGAAUUGUUGUGAGCAUCAUUUUUUUUUCUGCUUAUGAUUUGGAUGGGAUAUUCCUUUCUUUUUUUGUUUUUCAUUAUCCUGUUAGGAAUUGCUAAAUUAGGUUCCAUGUAUUAUUUUGCGUCAAAUUCUGUUGAUAUGGAUUUCAUAUUUCCCAUUUCUGUUUAAGCAGUUUUACUUUGCUUUUUAUUUUGUCCUUGGCUUCUGUUUUUGUGUCAGUGGCUUGUGUUGUCGCAUGAUCGAUAGUU
rnacentral:misc_RNA from 1 species